rnacentral:rRNA from 1 species
CGAUCCUCCCACCCUUUGUGUACCUACCUCUGUUGCUUUGGCGGGCCGCGGUCCUCCGCGGCCGCCCCCCUCCCCGGGGGGGUGGCCAGCGCCCGCCAGAGGACCAUCAAACUCCAGUCAGUAAACGAUGCAGUCUGAAAAACAUUUAAUAAACUAAAACUUUCAACAACGGAUCUCUUGGUUCUGGCAUCGAUGAAGAACGCAGCGAAAUGCGAUAAGUAAUGUGAAUUGCAGAAUUCAGUGAAUCAUCGAAUCUUUGAACGCACAUUGCGCCCUUUGGUAUUCCGAAGGGCAUGCCUGUUCGAGCGUCAUUACAACCCUCAAGCUCUGCUUGGUAUUGGGCACCGUCCUUUGCGGGCGCGCCUCAAAGACCUCGGCGGUGGCGUCUUGCCUCAAGCGUAGUAGAACAUACAUCUCGCUUCGGAGCGCAGGGCGUCGCCCGCCGGACGAACCUUCUGAACUUUUCUCAAGGUUGACCUCGGAUCAGGUAGGGAUACCCGCUGAACUUAAGCAUAUCAAUAAGC